rnacentral:lncRNA from 1 species
CAGAUCUAUGCAAAAAUCAUAUUUUCCAUCCUCUAUUUCAGUAAGGCAAUAAACCUAGUUCCGCGAAGCAGAAGGUACUGAUUACAAAAGAAGAUAAGAAGGUGGAGAAGAUGAUGAACAAUACCUAUAUAGAGCUGGUACUAAUUUUGAAGAUCUAAACUGGAGAGUCACACACACCAGAGAAAACACACACACACACACACACACAAUGUAUUGAAGAUCUGAACCAGAGGAAGCCGACAUAAAAGACCGAUAAAAACCACAACACAAAAACAAGCUUGAAACUUUGAUUUUCGGGUGUAUCUGAGGUCGAAGAUGUUGGUGGUAAUCAAAACACCGAUCUGAUUUUCCCAGCGCUCUGGUCUCGUGGAUGGUGGACCUCGACGGAGAUGUUUGGGCUAGGGGAGAGGACCGAUGGGUGAGAAAGGAAAACGGUGGAUUUGGGUUUUGAAGAAGAUGAAAAUGGUGGAUUGAGUUCUUGGUAUUGAAACAAAAGUUUCCAUUUUUUUUAGAGAGAGAGAGAGAUUUUCUUUUUUAUUUUUCUUUUAAUUAUAAAAGGAUUUGAAUAAAUAAAACAAUUGAAAAAGUAAAAUCAAAGGGCAAAAUGGUCAUUAUUAAAAAAUUUAAAGUAAAUUGGACCAAAGUGGCAAGAAAAUGAAAACCUUUGGAUCAUGAGUGCUAGUCCAAACCUAUUUGGCCCAGAGUGACAAUUUCGACCAAACCACAGGGACCAUUCUUGCAAUUUUGUCUAAGAAAAAUUAGGGCUAGGAUCCAACAACAAUAUUUACAUAUUAGAAAAGGGAUGCCGUAAUCUAACAUGCAAAUAAUAUGAAGGUAAGUGAAUGACGAUUCACUAAUUCUCCACCAUAAAACAUAACUUUAUGUCCUAAAUUUAUUGAGAAUUCCUACAUUUCGACCAAACCACAGGGACCAUUCUUGCAAUUUUGUCUAAGAAAAAUUAGGGCUAGGAUCCAACAACAAUAUUUACAUAUUAGAAAAGGGAUGCCGUAAUCUAACAUGCAAAUAAUAUGAAGGUAAGUGAAUGACGAUUCACUAAUUCUCCACCAUAAAACAUAACUUUAUGUCCUAAAUUUAUUGAGAAUUCCUACGUUUGGAUGAGAUUCAUUGAAACUCUUCAAUGGCAUGUUUAAAUCUCGAUAUGCCCCUCUUGUUUGUGACUGGGAUACCGAGGAUCACAAAGCGGGUGUGAAUUACCAUGCAAAUUCACAUGGUGCCUUCAUUGUAACGAUCACCUAUUCGAUGUGCCGGUAAACCACACACGCUCCAUCGAACUAUGAUAAACAAUGAAUCACCCUUUGCCACCUUUGCUUAGAACCAAUUAGUGUGCCGGUAAACCACACACGCUCCACUAACUUCUUAGCAAGGGUGCAAAGUGUAAUUUCAUGGGAUUGCAUCAAUUCACUUUUCCUAAAGUAACUAAGAUUGGGAAAUUUUUGAAAAACAUGUAGUUACUUUGUAUUUCAUAUUAUACUUUUAAUGAGAGGAUGAGGUUGCCCUAUCCUACCCGUUCGGCUAACGACCCUCCACCGAUCAAGCAAGCGGUGGGUGUGAGUGUACACCCAUUAAGCGCCAUUUUAUAGGCCGCAACCUUAUACCCACCUUAUAGAUCGGCUUCGUGAAUGAGGCCUACUAACGGUAAGACUAGCAUUUUAGUUAUAUAUAUAUAUAUAUAUUAAUCUUGUAAUAUUAUAUUAGUAUAGGGUUGGAUUUUAAACUUGUAAAAUUCUAGGGUUUGAAAUUUAAAUUGUCUAAAUUAAACUUUUAAUCACAAAACAUAAAUUUCAAAACUUGAGGGCAAGUUUUAAACAUUUAAAACAUGGAGGAUCAAAUAACAAAUAAUCUUAAUUAACAAUUAAUUCCAUAAUUAUCCAUAUUUGAUUUAUUUAAUGAUUUCUUGCAAAAUAAAUUACCAAUUUAAUCAAAAUAAUUAAUUAAUUAUCACAUAAGGAAAUUAAAUAUUUUAUUAAUUGAUAAAUAUCUUUAAUUAGAUCAAGAUUAUAGUCAUAUAUAUCAAAAAAUCGGAUUAGGGUUGAUCUAAUAUGAUAAAGCCAAGUUUCCAUAAGAUAAAUAUCAAAAAAUCCCGAUUUUAGCUCUUCCUGACGCUCGGACUCGCCGAGUCCACCAUGGGACUCGCCGAGUCCAUGACUCAGAAUCACAAAAUUCAAAUUUUGCAAGCAAGAAACAAACAAUCAUGCAUCAAUUUAAUAGAAACCAGUCUAGGCUCUGAUACCACUGAUGGUUUUUGGCCAUAUGAACAUUCAUAUGUGCACAUGCAAACUCUGAUGCAUGGAUCUAGGUUUCUCUAAUUAAACAUGCAUUGAAUCCAAGACUUUUAAUGGCUAAUAGAGUAUAAGAACAAUACAAAAUCAGAGUUAGAAGCUUACCUUGAAACACUUGUUUGAUCUUCUUGUUCUUGGAGCUUUAGAGUCACAAAUGUCACUCCUCUAAUGGCUUACAAACACCAACUAGCAAGAGGAUGAUUUGAGAGAGAGGAGAGGGAGUAGAAAUCGGCCAGGGUUUCUUUGCUUUAGCAGAGGUGCCGAUUUCCCUUGCCCCAAGGGUCUAUUUAUACUUGUAAGGCUCCUAGGGUUUCACCCUUAAACCCUAGUUGGAUAAUCUUUACUCAAAGCAAUCCAAAUCCUUUCCUAAGAUAAGCCCUUGGACGAUUUGUGGCUUAUCCCAAGCCCUUGAAAUCGUCCAACCAUAUCCAAGAAGGAUUUACAGCCCAAGGUGUAACUAUCAAACAAUUGAUAGUUUAUACCCUCUUAUUUAAUUAAUCUUCUUAAGUCACCAAAUUAAUUCUAAUUAAUUUUAUGACUUAUAUUAAUCAAAUAACAAUAUUAUUAUUCCUUAUAUUAUUCUCAUAAUAUAUUAAUAAUAUUUAUUCUCUCAUAAUAAAUCAUCCUGUCAAGUUGCUAUGGUGAAGGCAACCCAAAAGGACCAUGCACAAUCGGGUCAAAUACUUGCCUAAUAUAGUUGCAGCCUUAGACACUAUUCCAACAAUUAUUUGUAUUAAUUACUGAAUUCAUAACUACCUUAAAACCAAUGGUUUAAUUAAGGCAAAAUGUGAUAUGAUUGUUACCAUGCUAAUCUGACUAUAACACGACGAUGAAACACGUCUGAACAACAAAGGUGUAGGAUAGUCAAUCCAAUAUAGAUCUAUACGCAAACUCACGCUCUCCCUCCAGGAGAUUCUGGUUACAAAACGUGAUAUAACAAAAUGGUCAAUGUGUCAAGAAGUAGUAUUUCACAUUAUGUUAUCUCUAAACCUUGUUAUAGUAUGCUUCUUAUAGUAAUAGUAUUCUAUGUAUUGUAUUCUCUGAAUAGUAUCCUUGUUAUAGUAUGCUCUGUCUAGUAUUCUCUAUUAUAGUAUUCUCUAUUAUAUUAUUCUCUGUUAUAGUAUUCUCUGUUAUAGUAUUUGUAUAUGAUAGUAUCCUCCUAAACUAUACCUAUUAUAGUUUACUAGUAAGUUAUGUAUAUGAAUAGAUGAAUGUACACCCUUGCUACCUAAAGGUAAUGAACCGAUUGAAUAGAACUUUUAUGUAUACAUAUGUAUACAUAAUAUAUAUCUAAUAUUUAUACAACCUUCGGAAAACUGACCGAUACCCUAAGUCCACAUCCAAACAAGGAAAAGGAAAUAAAGCGAGCUAGCAAUCCUAAGUCCUUUAAACAUUAUGUAUAUAACUAUACAUAUAUAUAUAUAUAUAUAUAUAUAUAUACAUGCUUUUGACAGUAUAUAUAAGUUGAAAAGAGGUUUUGUAAUACAUUUAAAGAGUUUUGAACAAUCAAUAAAUAAUGACUUGAUGUCAGUUUAUAAAACGAUUUAAAAGUAGAUUGUUUUGAAACAUAGUUUGAAGUAUAUGAAAUCCUUGUUUGAAACACAGUUAUAAAUCACAUGUGAUUGAUUUUGUAACUAGCAUGUUACCUACUUGUAUUCCCCCUCCCCCCUUUUAAUCAUUGAAAAUAUAAGUUUCAGGGAUAUGAACUCACCUGAAGUGAAUGAUGCGAUAGUAGGAUCGGUAACGGAUGCUAAGUGUCAAGUGAGGACUUAAACACACACAAUGAUCCUGGUUAACAUAUAAUGAAACAUAUAUGUAUCUAAUUACUCAUUUAACAACUAAUUAACCAAGUUAAAACACUCUAGGAC